UGGGGAAUAUUGCACAAUGGGCGCAAGCCUGCUGCAGCGACGCCGCGUGAGGGAUGACGUCCUUCGGGUUGUAAACCUCUUUAAGUAGGGACGAAGCGCAAGGCACGGUACCUUCAGAAGAAGCACCGCCUACAUACGUGCCAGCAGCCGCGGACAUACGUGCGGCGCGAGCGUUGUCCGGAGUUACUGGGCGUAACGAGAUCGUAGGCGGUUGGUCACGUCGUCUGUGAUAUCCUAGGGCUUAACCCUGGACGUGCAGGCGAUGCGAGCUGACAUGAGGACUACAGGGGAGACAGGAAGUUCUGGUGUAGCGGUGGAAUGCACAGAUGUCAGGAAGAACACCGAUGGCGAAGGCAGGGCUCUUGGUAGUAACUGACGCUGAGGAGCGAAAGCAUGGGUAGCGAAAAAG
rnacentral:rRNA from 1 species